UUCCAGUGAAGCAACUGAAUUGUCAAUUUCAGACAUAAACAUGGCUGACGUAUUAUCUUCAACGAUGAUCAUUGAUGUAGAAGAUCAGGAAAACUCUGCCAAAUUACUUAGUCAGCUGAGGAACCUUGAAACAGAAAACACGGAGCUAAGAGAGAAAAAUCUUUGCGCUAAUAAGGAACUGGAAGCAGCAAAGGAGCCCAGUCUGGAUGAGUUUCUUCGUAUACAUCAUCACAUGGUUUACCUUCAAUGAACAAUAUAUACCAUGUAAUUACUUGUAACUAGAAGAGAA